GUGGCCUCCACUCCCAGCAGAAGGCAACAUUUCAGAACUGGCAGAGCCAAGGAAUGCACGAAACAUCCAAGGGCCGACUCGGAUAUUUGCGGAAUACGAAGGUGUUUAGGAAAACAGAAAAUCCACCACAGCUGGUGGGCGUGGGUCCACUUGAAAACUAAACUCACUGGGACAUUUCCACCCUGAAACUGUAGACAUGACUGGUUCACAUUUAUGAAGAGGCGACGAAAAGGGGCCUCGGUGCGGUCUGCAUGAGGUGGCUGCUGGGCAGAAGAGCUGUGAGCACAUGAAACAUGGCUUCUCUCCUCCCAAAGCUCACCACCAAGGCUCCGUAGAAAGAACUGAAGAGAGGCUAAGUUUCCCAUGAAUUCAACAAAUAAAGACAUGAUGGUCUUUAAAGUGAA